GCAGUUGUGUGAGGGUUUUCUGCCAUCCUCAGUGCUGUGGAGCAGAGCUAGUUCCUCUCCAGCUUAGCCACGCAGGUUGAAUUGACCAAACCAAUGGUGAUGGAGAAGCCUAGUCCCCUGCUGGUCAGGCGGGAAUUUGUGAGACAGUAUUACACACUGCUGAACCAGGCCCCAGACAUGCUGCAUAGAUUUUAUGGAAAGAACUCUUCUUAUGUCCAUGGGGGAUUGGAUUCAAAUGGAAAGCCAGCAGAUGCUAUCUAUGGACAGAAAGAAAUCCACAGGAAAGUGAUGUCUGAAAACUUCACCAACUGCCACACCAAAAUUCGCCAUGUUGAUGCUCAUGCCAUGCUAAAUGAUGGUGUGGUAGUCCAAGUGAUGGGGCUUCUUUCUAACAACAACCAGGCUUUGAGGAGAUUUAUGCAGAUGUUUAUCCUUGCUCCUGAGGGGUCUGUUGCAAAUAAAUUCUAUGUUCACAAUGAUAUCUUCCAAUACAAGAUGAGGUUUUUCGUGGGUUUGUCACUGAGCCUCAGGAGGAGUCUGAAGAAGAAGUAGAAGAACCUGAAGAAAGACUGCAGACACCUGAGGUGGUACCUGAUGAUUCUGGAACUUUCUAUGAUCAGGCAGUUGUCAGUAAUGACAUGGAAGAACAUUUAGAGGAGCCUGUUGCUGAACCAGAGCCUGACCCUGAACCGGAACCAGAAAAAUAACCUGUAUCUGAAAUCCAAGAGGAAAAGCCUGAGCCUGUAUUAGAAGAAACUGCUCUUGAGGAUGGAACCAAAAGAGAGCCCACAUAG